rfam:Triticum aestivum genome assembly, contig: Triticum_aestivum_CS42_TGACv1_scaffold_050890_1BS
AAAGUACUCCCUCCGUCCCAAAAUUCUUGUCUUAGAUUUGUCUAGAUACGGAUGUAUCAAGUCACAUUUUAGUAUUAGAUACAUCCGUAUCUAGACAAAUCUAAGACAAGAAAUUUGGGACAGAUGGAGUAGUUG